ACGGGCCUCGUUGAAGCGUGAACCUCAACGCUACCUCCGCGUAGUGGUUGGAAUCCCCGUCCUUCAGGGCGGGGAGGACGUCAAGUCCAACAAGCUC
rnacentral:sRNA from 1 species